rnacentral:tRNA from 1 species
CAGGAGACAAAACUGAUAUGAUGUCUGAAUCUUUUAUUUUCAGGCCAUAGUCCUGUCACAUAGGUCGAUCGGUACCUCAGUUUAAUAUUCAUUAGCUAAGCAAUUAGUUUUAAAAAAUAUUGAAUUUAGUUCCUAAACUUUGUCUAGUUCACACCCAACAAUGGUUCCUGGGCCAUUAGCUCAGGUGGUUAGAGCGCACCCCUGAUAAGGGUGAGGUCCCUGGUUCAAGUCCAGGAUGGCCCAUUCGGUGUUGGGGGUAUAGCUCAGUUGGUAGAGCGCCUGCUUUGCAAGCAGGAUGUCAGCGGUUCGAGUCCGCUUACCUCCACUGAUCGACCUUCUGAUAACGAAGCCUAAGGGUACCUUUUCUAUAAAUGUGAACUAGUUUUGUUCCCACUGAAAGAACCUAGCUUCUUGUCAUUCCUUUUGGAAACAUUUGUUCCUAUUUACGGCUGAUAAGACGCUGGGCUCUCUGCAAUUCAUUGCAGAGAACUUCAGUAGAACCUUGACAACUGCAUAGUGAGUCUGGAAAAAAAUAAAGCAUCUCAUAGAUGCAUUGUUUUUUAGACUAUAAAUAGAAUCUGAUUUUCUUCAGUAUUUAUUUUCUAGUUUAAAAUAAUAAUGUUUAAUUCUUGAGCAAGAGCCGAGACUCUAUGACUUUCUUUCAAUACACUAAAAAUAUUGAGAGUUUGAUUUUUAAUUCAGAUCUUUUAGGAGAAUUUUUAGAUUAACUCUAAAUUUACUUACCUAAAAGUAAUCAGAAUUAAGAAGAAUAGUGCUAACAACAUAUGAAGUUAUAGAGGUUGUAU